rnacentral:lncRNA from 1 species
GGCGGCGAAGAAAAGUAGAUGCGCUCUAGCUAUUGUAGGGGGUCCGCCAUGCUCCUAAAGGCUGAAGCCGGUUGUCCUUUGUGAAACAUCUUUUGUUAACGCCAAAGCUCUUUCCAGCUGUUGUUGUUGCUGGAGGACAACUGGUAGCCAGUCUUUGUACCAGUUGUCUUUUCCUCCACUCCUUUUUUGAUACUCUCUUGUCUUCAUUGAGUGGAUGUUCCUGAAUUGCUGAAGUGCCUCACAUGCUUGUCGGGCGGCUUCCUUUUGAAUUGCUUCGAGUCUUCUUUCCGCGAGUCCCAUCUCAUUGAGUGGGAGUCCUCCUGGCCUUUGCAUUCUGGAUUUGAGCUCAUCCAGUUCUUGUUGGUAUUAUGUGAGGAGGUCACCUGGUUUAUUAGUUGACUCAGGUGCAUUGCUGCCCUUGGAUUCGGCUGGGCUUGAACCUCUUGGGUGGCUUCUGUUAGUAGGAGUAUCUGUUCGUUCGGCCAUCCUGAAAUCAAAAUAUUUAUUAGUCGGGAUAAAGAGUCGGCUAGAAUAUU